GUAGUUGUGGCCAGGGGGGUUAAGGUGAUGGACUAGAAAUCCAUUGGGGUUUCCCUGCGCAGGUUCAAAUCCUGCCAAACUAUG
rnacentral:tRNA from 1 species